AUUGAACGCUGGCGGCAGGCCUAACACAUGCAAGUCGAGCGAGCGGCGGACGGGUGAGUAAUGUAUGGGAAACUGCCUGAUGGAGGGGGAUAACUACUGGAAACGGUAGCUAAUACCGCAUACUAUCAGAUGUUCCCAGAUGGGAUGAGCUAGUAGGUGGGGUAAAGGCUAACCUAGGCGACGAUCCCUAGCUGGUCUGAGAGGAUGACAAGCCACACGGGAACGGAGAACCGGUCCAGACUCCUAAGGGAGGCAGCAGGGGGGAAGAUUGCACAAUGGGCGAAAGCCUGAUGCAGCCAUGCCGCGAGUGUGAAGAAGGCCUUCGGGUUGUAAAGUACUUUCAGCGGGGAGGCGUUACUCGCAGAAGAAGCACGGGCUAACUCCGUGCCAGCAGCCGCGGUAAGUC
rnacentral:rRNA from 1 species